UCAGGUAGGACUACGCGCUGAACUUAAGCAUAUCAAUAAGCGCAGGAAAAGAAAAUAACCAUGAUUCCCCCAGUAACGGCGAGUGAAGCGGGAAAAGCUCAAAUUUGAAAUCUGGCAACAUUUCUUUUGUUGUCCGAGUUGUAAUUUCAAGAAGCUGCUUUGAGUGUACACGGUUUACCUAAGUUCCUUGGAACAGGACGUCAUAGAGGGUGAGAACCCCGUCUUUGGUAAGCUGGGCGUAUGCCGGAUAAAGCGCUUUCGAAGAGUCGAGUUGUUUGGGAAUGCAGCUCUAAAUGGGUGGUAAAUUUCAUCUAAAGCUAAAUAUUGGCGAGAGACCGAUAGCGAACAAGUAGAGUGAUCGAAAGAUGAAAAGAACUUUGAAAAGAGAGUUAAAUAGUACGUGAAAUUGCUGAAAGGACGAAGCAUUGGAAACCAGUCUUACCCGGGUGAGAUCAGUUGCCUUUUCGCAAGGCGAUGCACUCUGAACCUGUUGGUAGGUCAGCAUCAGUUUCUGGGGGUGGAAAAAGGAUCUAGGAAGGUACCUUUUCGGGUUCUGCCUGAAGAGGGUUUAUAGCCUAGGUUGUAAUACAUCCACUGGGGACUGAGGACUGCGAUCUUUAUGGUCAAGGAUGUUGACAUAAUGGUUUUCAAUGACCCGUCUUGAAACACGGACCAAGGAGUCUAGCAUCUAUGCGAGUGUUUGGGUGAUGAAAACCCAUCCGCGAAAUGAAAGUGAAUGCAGGUGGGACCGUCCUUUUUGUGGCGCGCACCACCGACCGACCUGGAAGGUUUUUACUGGAAAGGUUUGAGUAAGAGCAUAGCUGUUGGGACCCGAAAGAUGGUGAACUAUGCCUGAAUAGGGUGAAGCCAG
rnacentral:misc_RNA from 1 species